GCUCCUCAAGAUACCCCAGUACGAUUCGCAGAUCUUGUUAUGGAUACAUGAAUAUAACUCACCCAAGUAGUAAAACGAGAAUGGACAAUAGAAAGGCCAGAAAUCCAGGAUGUUGUGAGGGUUUAUAAUCCCUGAUUGGACGACAGGCGAGCCAGAGCUCAGUGCCAGGAAUCACGCACGCCAAAAUACAGGAGACCCCGAGAAGCGAGAGGAAGCCGACCUCCAUAUGCAUGGACUGGAACAUUUUGAUAUAAAUUUACGUUUAUAUCUGGAUAUUCAGGAUCAACAUAUGUCGUUGAGGGAAAAACUAUUUGUCGAGGGUUUUUUGCUUCUGAUGGUAA